ACUCCUACGGGAGGCAGCAGUGGGGAAUAUUGCACAAUGGGGGAAACCCGUGAUGCAGCCAUGCCGCGUGUGUGAAGAAGGCCUUCGGUUGUAAAGCACUUUCAGUAGGGAGGAAGGUAGUGUAGUUAACACCUGCACUAUUUGUACGUUACCUACAGAAGAAGCACCGGCUAACUCCGUGCCAGCAGCCGCGGUAAUACGGAGGGUGCGAGCGUUAAUCGGAAUUACUGGGCGUAAAGCGCAUGCAGGCGGCCUGUUAAGUCAGAUGUGAAAGCCCGGGGUCUUAACCUCGGAAUUGCAUUUGAAACUGGCAGGCUAGAGUCUUGUAGAGGGGUUAGAAUUUCAGGUGUAGCGGUGAAAUGCGUAGAGAUCUGAAGGAAUCCAAGU
rnacentral:rRNA from 1 species